UACGAAGGGGGCUAGCGUUGCUCGGAAUCACUGGGCGUAAAGCGCACGUAGGCGGAUUGUUAAGUCAGGGGUGAAGUCCUGGAGCUCAACUCCAGAACUGCCUUUGAUACUGGCGAUCUUGAGUCCGGGAGAGGUGAGUGGAACUGCGAGUGUAGAGGUGAAAUUCGUAGAUAUUCGCAAGAACACCAGUGGCGAAGGCGGCUCACUGGCCCGGUACUGACGCUGAGGUGCGAAGGCCAGGGGAGCAAAGCGGG
rnacentral:rRNA from 1 species